ACUCCACGCGGCCCACGCUGCCCCCGGGUGGUCGCCGUGCACUCUCUGUCUCAAGGUAGGCCAGCUCCGGACUCGCCAGGAGCUGAUUCUGAUCCAUCUGGUUUUGCUGUGUCUCUGUUUAGGUCCAGCCCCCGGAAACACACACCCGCAGCCCGACCACGCCACGAUUGAAGCCCCGGGUCAAAGUGGUUCGGGUGACCGCACUCGCUUCUCGCAACGCCGCCCCCCUGCGGCGUAGGGAACCCCAUCCUGUCCAGAGCGGCCUGUGGCGUGGUGAGUGCAGGCUUUUCUCCACAACUUGGUUCUUUUCAGAUUCAUCAAAGAUUGCGCAACAAACCUUGAUCUUUGGCAAAGGCGCUCUGGUCUCAGUAAAUGCUGAAGUCCUAAAACCACGAGAGGAAAUGGGUGCGUCGGAGCCUGAAACCAGGGCGAACACGCCACGUGCUCCCGGAUCUUCAGAGCCACUGGCUGCAGAUCUGGUACUGCGGGCUGCUCAGGGCCCUGGUGUUCCUCCCAGGCAGCAGGACCUUGGCUUCUGGUCUGAGUGAGGGGCCUGCUUCCUCUCCUGCUCAGAAUUGAAUACCGGCUGACCCCAGUGAUCACUCCAGCUCUUUGAAGCUAACAUCAGCCCACCUGCUCCCUGUAAACAGUAAUACACGGACAGUACCUAUAGCAUAAACGUGAUAGGGGUUCCUUUGACGAAGACAUGACACGGGUAAGGAGAUGGCCUUUACUCCUCUUCCUGCUCUCCCACCGUAGAGGAUGUGGUUACCACUUUAAGACCAUGAUUUAGUAAAGGACCUGUCUGUCCCAUGAGAAACCCAUUGCUGGGUCCAGCAAUCCCCUGGAUUUCCACGGUACCAGCCAAGUUCCUGCAAAUUAGGUAAAACCCUACAGCUGGGGGGAAGGGGGCGAUCCUUGGUUCAUCAGGUAAGUUUGUAUACAUCCUGCUACCACACUUUCAAAACAAGAAUGAAGUACACCUCCUCCCCAGAGCCCCCAACCAGUAUCCCUAAGCAGCUUCUGGAGAGUCCUCUGAAGGUUCUAACCCGGUGUCGGUGUCGUCACCCUCCUCCCCAGCCUGGCUCCUCACUAAAGGACUCCCAGGACCCCAAAAGACAUCAUUCUACUGAGGGUUCAGACUGCUUCUUAGAAGCAGAAGUGAGAGGUUUGGAGGGACGCAAUACCAACGUCCAAGGAGGCUACCCUCAGCCACUAAAAAAAGAAAAGAAAAAAUCACUCCAGGUUUGUCAAGUGUUCUCUCUCUGUAGGUUGGAAUGUUCAUCUCUUCAUGAUGGUGUGCCAGGAUGCAUAAAUGGUACCAUGUGAUGAGAAAGAAGUGGCUUUGAAAGAAGCAGCCAUCAGAAGAGACCAAGAAGACAGAGGAAAGGACUCUGAGGGGAACGUACAUGCUCCUUCUAUCACCACCUUUCCCUUGGGGUGUGCGUGUGUGUGUGUGUGUGUGUGUGUGUAUGUGUGUGUAGCUUGUGUGUGUGUGCACUUGCCUGUGGUAGCUUGUGUGUGUGUGUGCACUUGCCUGUGGUAGCUUGUGUUUGUGUGUAUACUUGCUUGUGGUAGCUUUGUGUGUGUGUGUGUGUAUGUGUGUAUACUUGCCUGUGGUAGCUUGUGUGUGUGUGUGUGUGUGCACUUGCCUGUGGUAGCUUGUGUGUGUGUGUGUGUAUGUGUGUGUGUGUGUGUGUGCACUUGCCUGUGGUAGCUUGUGUGUGUGUGUGUGUGUGUGCACUUGCCUGUGGUAGUUUGUAAAUAUCAGAGGCUGAGAGGCUGAUUUCAGGAUAUCCUCUUUAAUCCUCUCUCAAACCUUUUUGUUGUUAUUUUGUUUGUUUGUUUGUUUGUUUGUGGGUAGUUUGUUUUGUUUUUUCAAGACGGUGAUUUUCUGUGUAGCCCUGGCUGUUCUGGACACUCAAAGACCUGCCUGUCUCUGCCUCCCAAGGGCUGGGAUUAAAGGAUUUAAAUCUCUU
ensembl:processed_transcript 2900005J15Rik RIKEN cDNA 2900005J15 gene